rnacentral:rRNA from 1 species
CACGGUCCAGACUCCUACGGGAGGCAGCAGUGGGGAAUAUUGCACAAUGGGCGCAAGCCUGAUGCAGCCAUGCCGCGUGUGUGAAGAAGGCCUUCGGGUUGUAAAGCACUUUCAGUCGUGAGGAAGGUAGUGUAGUUAAUAGCUGCAUUAUUUGACGUUAGCGACAGAAGAAGCACCGGCUAACUCCGUGCCAGCAGCCGCGGUAAUACGGAGGGUGCGAGCGUUAAUCGGAAUUACUGGGCGUAAAGCGCAUGCAGGUGGUUUGUUAAGUCAGAUGUGAAAGCCCGGGGCUCAACCUCGGAAUUGCAUUUGAAACUGGCAGACUAGAGUACUGUAGAGGGGGGUAGAAUUUCAGGUGUAG